UGCUAUUUUUGGAUGAGCUUCAGAAACUCCUAUGCAGUGACAUGUUCAUACAUCAUUCCCUUCAACUUUAAUGUUGCUCAUGCAAUAAAGAUGGCAGUGAAAUAUUUAAAAAUCGGAAUUGCGCUAUUAAUUAUUUACUGUCUUCAUUUAAGUGAAAACACACAUCUUGAAUGGACAGAACACUCAAGGAAACAUGGUGAACCAUGCGUUAAUCAUGACCAAUGCAUAGACUUUCGAAUGAUUUGCUCUGAAACAGAGUUUGUUUGUCAAUGUGAUCAAUUUCAUGACUGGACAGAGCUUAACGCAUAUACAUCAGAAUGUGUUCCUAAUCCGCAGCGUCUCCGCUCUUUUUUAUCGGAAAACCAUGAAACUAAGGGUGUUGAAGAUAACAAGUCUAUAAAAACAAAAGCUGUUUAACAACAUGACAUACUCAUGGCAGCAUGGAUGAAGGAAAAGAUCCAUCAAAACAAGAAAAUUAUGAUGAUCUGUCUUCGAUUCAAAGAACUGAGGACUCCUUCGAAUUAGACAAAAAAAUGUCCACGUGGAAAACUGAUGAUGAGUCUCUGCAGAAAUGCCUCAGAAGAUUGUCAGGAGAUCAACAUGACAUGAAAGUAAUACACAUGAAACUGACCAUGGUGAAGCAAUAUGUUCAGGUACAUGGUACUAAAAGUAUCAACAAGUAUACAUUUAUAGACAAUUCUAAUCCAAAACUAUCUCUUCCCAGGUGAACACUACAACUUCUUGAUAUUUCUGUACAUAAAUUUAAAUAGCUAUUUUGAGUUCUUUUCCAAUUAAAAUUAAAGUGACUUAUGAUUUGUAUAA
rnacentral:misc_RNA from 1 species